GGGCCUAUAGCUCAGCUGGUUAGAGCGCACGCCUGAUAAGCGUGAGGUCGAUGGUUCGAGUCCAUUUAGGCCAC
rnacentral:tRNA from 2 species